AGGGAAUUUUCCGCAAUGGGCGCAAGCCUGACGGAGCAACGCCGCGUGAGCGAGGACGGCCUUCGGGUUGUGAAGCUCUGUUCUUCGGGAAGAACGGCAGGAGGGUGAAUAGCCCUUUUGCAUGACGGUACCGAAGGAUAAAGCCCCGGCUAACUACGUGCCAGCAGCCGCGGUAAUACGUAGGGGGCGAGCGUUGUCCGGAAUUAUUGGGCGUAAAGCGCGCGCAGGCGGCCGGCUAAGUCCUGUGUGAAAGACCACGGCUCAACCGUGGGGGUGCACGGGAAACUGGCCGGCUUGAGUGCAGGAGAGGGGAGCGGAAUUCCCGGUGUAGCGGUGGAAUGCGUAGAGAUCGGGAGGAACACCAGUGGCGAAGGCGGCUCUCUGGCCUGUAACUGACGCUGAGGCGCGAAAGCGUGGGGAGCGAAC
rnacentral:rRNA from 1 species